UACGUAGGGGGCAAGCGUUGUCCGGAUUUAUUGGGCGUAAAGAGCGUGUAGGCGGUUAGAUAGGUCCGUUGUGAAAACUCGAGGCUCAACCUCGAGACGCCGAUGGAAACCAUCUGACUAGAGUCCGGAAGAGGAGAGUGGAAUUCCUGGUGUAGCGGUGAAAUGCGCAGACAUCAGGAAGAACACCCGUGGCUAAGGCGGCUCUCUAGUACGGUACUGACGCUGAGACGCGAAAGCGUGGGGAGCGAACAGG
rnacentral:rRNA from 1 species